UGGGAUGAAGGGGAGUGAAGGGGGCAUGUAUAGGGGACCCUCCAUGCUUACGCUUUGCCAAUGUAUCAUUUGCACACUGAAGCACUGAUGCCCUGUAUGGGCAGAGCUUUGCGCAUGCGACUGUGUGGCAUCUGAGUGGACAUGGGAGGUACUUAGAGGUUGCAAGUCUCUAUAAUGGUGCAUAUGCAUGGUGGGGUGGCAACAACAACAAAUAAUCCAGCAGAGUGGCUUGAUGCUGUGCUAUGCAGUCAAGCCAUGCAUAUUCAGUCUGCCUUGGGAGCGGGCAUUGUGGACAAUGGAGUUUUUACCUGCUUUUGGAAAAAGCAGGGUUGAGCCAUUUUUUCCUGCCCAUCUGCUUCAGCCUAAGGAAUGGAAAGUUAAUGACCUGGCAACUCAUGAAAGGGAACAUCCCUGAAGCAUUUGUUGGACAAAGUGCACCAUGGAAGCUUCAUAGGGCCCUCAAGGGCACUUUGGGGGGCUAUAUGCUCCCCGUGGAACUUCUCCAAUGCUCCCCUGGCUCCCUUUUCAACAGUUUUCCCCAUUUUCAUUUGCUUCUAUGGAGUAAGAAUGAGGGCAGGGAAGACUGUUUCACCUGAGGCACAAGCCUGGCUUUCCUGCUUUGAACCAGAACUUUCUUGCACAGAUAGUCAGGACUGAGGAAUGAGGUUUGUCUGAGCAGUGAUUGCAUGGACAAAGCACACUCUCUAAUAGCACUCUGGGCUGGAUGGAACCUGUUUUUCUUCUCUUCCUGAGCAGAGCAGGGGUGGAGACAAAGCACAAAUGACAAGACUGCAAGCAAGAUCUGCAUUUCUACCAGUGAAGAGAAACAACUGAGAGGCUACCUGUCUUUCUUUCUCACUAGAUAUCUGUCACUCAGGUACAACCAACAUUGAUCUAGGAACUGUGGACAGAAAGGCUGAGACAUUCAACAUUUCUUCCCAAGAGUGCCAUCAUAACUGAAGGAUGUCUUCCAUCUUGAAAGUGUUUGGGAGAGAAGAGAAAGAGAAGGAGAAGGAAAAGGAGAAAGAGAAAGAGAAAGAGAAGGAAAAAGACAAGAAAGAUGGAGACAAAAAAGACAAGAAAAAGAAAAAGGAGAAAAAGGUAAGGAAAAGGUGAAAAAUCAGAGGCGUACUGUAUGCAAGGUAAGGCAAUGGAGCUCACUGAAACAACAAAUUUUGGAUGAGAUAAAAUAUCCUUACAGGAAAAGAGAUUCCAGCUCAACACUAGGAAGAACGUUCUGAGAGUAAGAGUUGUUUGAGAGUGGAAUACCUUGCUUCAGGGAG